rnacentral:rRNA from 1 species
GCUAAACGCGAAGAACCUUACCUGGGCUCGAAAUGCAGAUGACCAUCGGCGAAAGUCGACUUCCGCAAGGACAUCUGUAUAGGUGCUGCAUGGCUGUCGUCAGCUCGUGUCGUGAGAUGUUGGGUUAAGUCCCGCAACGAGCGCAACCCUCGUCUUUAGUUGCCAGCAUUCAGUUGGGCACUCUAGAGAGACUGCCGCGAAUAACGCGGAGGAAGGUGGGGAUGACGUCAGGUCAUCAUGGCCCUUACGGCCUGGGCUACACACGUGCUACAAUGGUCGGUACAGAGGGUUGCCAAGCCGCGAGGUGGAGCUAAUCUCACAAAACCGAUCGUAGUCCGGAUCGCAGUCUGCAACUCGACUGCGUGAAGUCGGAAUCGCUAGUAAUCGCGAAUCAGAAUGUCGCGGUGAAUACGUUCCCGGGUC